GAUGGUGCUUGCACUAUCACUUAGCGGCGGACGGGUGAGUAAUGCUUAGGAAUCUGCCUAUUAGUGGGGGACAACAUCUCGAAAGGGAUGCUAAUACCGCAUACGUCCUACGGGAGAAAGCAGGGGAUCACUUGUGACCUUGCGCUAAUAGAUGAGCCUAAGUCGGAUUAGCUAGUUGGUGGGGUAAAGGCCUACCAAGGCGACGAUCUGUAGCGGGUCUGAGAGGAUGAUCCGCCACACUGGGACUGAGACACGGCCCAGACUCCUACGGGAGGCAGCAGUGGGGAAUAUUGGACAAUGGGGGGAACCCUGAUCCAGCCAUGCCGCGUGUGUGAAGAAGGCCUUAUGGUUGUAAAGCACUUUAAGCGAGGAGGAGGCUCUUUUGGUUAAUACCCAGAAUGAGUGGACGUUACUCGCAGAAUAAGCACCGGCUAACUCUGUGCCAGCAGCCGCGGUAAUACAGAGGGUGCAAGCGUUAAUCGGAUUUACUGGGCGUAAAGCGCGCGUAGGCGGCCAAUUAAGUCAAAUGUGAAAUCCCCGAGCUUAACUUGGGAAUUGCAUUCGAUACUGGUUGGCUAGAGUGUGGGAGAGGAUGGUAGAAUUCCAGGUGUAGCGGUGAAAUGCGUAGAGAUCUGGAGGAAUACCGAUGGUGAAGGCAGCCAUCUGGCCUAACACUGACGCUGAGGUGCGAAAGCAUGGGGAGCAAACAGGAUUAGAUACCCUGGUAGUCCAUGCCGUAAACGAUGUCUACUAGCCGUUGGGGCCUUUGAGGCUUUAGUGGCGCAGCUAACGCGAUAAGUAGACCGCCUGGGGAGUACGGUCGCAAGACUAAAACUCAAAUGAAUUGACGGGGGCCCGCACAAGCGGUGGAGCAUGUGGUUUAAUUCGAUGCAACGCGAAGAACCUUACCUGGUCUUGACAUAGU
rnacentral:rRNA from 1 species